rnacentral:lncRNA from 1 species
UUUGCUAUCCCUCGGGGUCUUGCCAAUUAUGACAAGCCUCCGGUUUACCAACCACCGGUCUACAAGCCCCCUGUUGAGAAGCCACCUGUGUAUAAGCCACCGGUAGAAAAACCUCCAGUUUACAAACCACCGGUAGAGAAACCACCAGUGUACAAGCCACCAGUUGAGAAGCCCCCCGUCUACAAACCUCCUGUAGAGAAGCCUCCUGUUUACAAGCCACCAGUAGAGAAACCACCAGUGUACAAGCCACCAGUUGAAAAGCCUCCGGUCUACAAACCACCUGUAGAGAAGCCACCUGUUUACAAGCCACCUGUAGAGAAACCACCAGUGUACAAGCCACCAGUUGAGAAGCCUCCGGUCUACAAACCACCUGUAGAGAAGCCACCUGUUUAUAAGCCACCUGUAGAGAAACCACCAGUGUACAAGCCACCAGUUGAGAAGCCCCCGGUCUACAAACCCCCUGUAGAGAAGCCUCCUGUCUACAAGCCACCAGUAGAGAAACCGCCAGUGUACAAGCCACCAGUUGAGAAACCCCCGGUCUACAAACCCCCUGUUGAGAAGCCUCCUAUCUACAAGCCACCAGUAGAGAAACCACCAGUGUACAAGCCACCUGUUGAGAAGCCUCCAGUUUAUAAGCCACCAGUUGAGAAGCCACCUGUGUACAAGCCCCCAGUCGAGAAACCCCCGGUCUACAAACCUCCUGUAGAGAAGCCUCCAGUUUACAAGCCACCGGUGUACAAACCUCCAGUUUACAAGCCACCAGUAGAGAAGCCACCUGUGUACAAGCCUCCGGUCUACAAACCCCCAGUUGAGAAACCUCCAGUUUACAAGCCACCGGUUUACAAGCCUCCAGUCGAGAAGCCACCAGUUUACGGACCACCUCACCACCCAUAGUACCCUCCCGUAGUUGGCACUACUCGUUUUUAAAGCAUGCUUUUAAGUAAAUAAGAGAUAUAUAAACUUUCCAAAGCAAGGAUCAUAUAUUCUUGGAAAUCUUCAAUUCAAUCUUAUGUUUACAAAUGCUAUUGC